ensembl:lncRNA
AGGAUUAGAUUAACAGUAGAGUGUGUGUGUGAGGAUUAGGAUUAGAUAAAUAAAGAGUGUGUGUGUGAGGAUUAGGAUUAGAUUAACAGUACAGUGUGUGUGUGAGGAUUAGGAUUAGAUUAACAGUACAGUGUGUGUGAGGAUUAGGAUUAGAUUAACAGUAGAGUGUGUGAGGAUUAGGAUUAGAUUAACAGUAGAGUGUGUGAGGAUUAGGAUUAGAGUAACAGUAGUGUGUGUGUGAGGAUUAGGAUUAGAGUAACAGUAGUGUGUGUGUGAGGAUUAGGAUUAGAUUAACAGUAGUGUGUGUGUGAGGAUUAGGAUUAGAUUAACAGUAUAGAGUGUGUGAGGAUUAGGAUUAGAUAUAGAGUAGAGUGUGUGAGAGGAUUAGGAUUAGAUUAACAGUAGAGUGUGUGAGUAUUAGGAUUAGAUUAACAGUAGUGUGUGUGUGAGGAUUAGGAUUAGAUUAACAGUAGAGUGUGUGUGAGGAUUAGGAUUAGAUUAACAGUAGAGUGUGUGAGGAUUAGGAUUAGAUUAACAGUAGAGUGUGUGAGAGGAUUAGGAUUAGAUUAACAGUAGAGUGUGUGUGAGGAUUAGGAUUAGAUUAACAGUAGAGUGUGUGAGGAUUAGGAUUAGAUUAACAGUGGAGUGUGUGAGUAUUAGGAUUAGAUUAACAGUAGAGUGUGUGAGGAUUAGGAUUAGAUUACCAGUAGAGUGUGUGAGGAUUAGAUUAACAGUCGAGUGUGUGUGAGGAUUAGGAUUAGAUUACCAGUAGAGUGUGUGAGGAUUAGAUUAACCAUCGAGUGUGUGUGAGGAUUAGGAUUAGAUUAACAGUCGAGUGUGUGUGAGGAUUAGGAUUAGAUUAACAGUCGAGUGUGUGUGAGGAUUAGGAUUAGAUUAACAGUCGAUCGAGUGUGAGGAUUAGGAUUAGAUUACCAGUAGAGUGUGUGAGGAUUAGAUUACCAGUCGAGUGUGUGAGGAUUAGAUCAACAGUCGAGUGUGUGCGUGUGUGUGAGGAUUAGGAUUAGAUAAACCGUGUGUUCCGUACACAGAGAGUGAGAGAAAGACUUCACAAUGUUGUACAGUAAAAAUACAGUAUUACUCCGUAAUCCUCACACCAGCACAUUCACUCUUCUAAAAGCAAUCCCGUCUCUCUUUUUUCUCAUGUCUCUAAUUCAUCCUUCCUUUUACUCUUAUAUUUCCCCCUCAGUUGAAUCCGUUCUUUGUGGAAUGUUAUUUCCUGCAGUAUUUUAUUAACCUGCUUAUUGAAAACGGUUGACGUGAGUAAUCCGGCCUCACUCCGCUUUAAUACACGGACCUGCUGUGCACGAUGCUACUUAUUUUACCUGUGCAUUAGUCUGUUUCAUCCAUCAUGAGCUCCACAACGAUGGCUGGAUCAGAUCCAAUUUCACAGGGGAAUUGAGUGGAACGAGUCAGAUUGCUAGCGUGCACCAUGACAGACAGCAAGAGCAUUUGGGCAGGAGUGAAGGGAUAUAUAGUAUACACUAUAUAAUACUAAAGCAAUACCGCUAUGUGUAUCCGCAUCCGUUUCGUGCUCCGAAUAUCCAUAUCUAGAUUAGGAUUUAAACCCGAAGUGGGCGUGGCCUAAACACGGUAUAUGGAACAUAACUUCGUUUUCACUAAUCGUGGUUUAAUUUACGCUUUCAACGUUUCCGUUUGCCAUCCUGGCACAGAUCUCACAUGCGGGCAGGGCUUAACACAUGAUUUCCUCUCAUUGGCUAGUGAGAUUUGGAUCGACAGCUCCCUGUCCAGGAAGUAGAGAUUUGAGCGGUGUGCAUUCUGGAGGCGUUUCUCUGUAUACUGUAGUUACA